rnacentral:rRNA from 1 species
AGUGAACGCUGGCGGUAGGCCUAACACAUGCAAGUCGAACGGCAGCACAGGAGAGCUUGCUCUCUGGGUAGCGAGUGGCGGACGGGUGAGGAAUACAUCGGAAUCUACUCUGUCGUGGGGGAUAACGUAGGGAAACUUACGCUAAUACCGCAUACGACCUACGGGUGAAAGCAGGGGACCUUCGGGCCUUGCGCGAUUGAAUGAGCCGAUGUCGGAUUAGCUAGUUGGCGGGGUAAAGGCCCACCAAGGCGACGAUCCGUAGCUGGUCUGAGAGGAUGAUCAGCUACACUGGAACUGAGACACGGUCCAGACUCCUACGGGAGGCAGCAGUGGGGAAUAUUGGACAAUGGGCGCAAGCCUGAUCCAGCCAUACCGCGUGGGUGAAGAAGGCCUUCGGGUUGUAAAGCCCUUUUGUUGGGAAAGAAAUCCAGCUGGCUAAUACCCGGUUGGGAUGACGGUACCCAAAGAAUAAGCACCGGCUAACUUCGUGCCAGCCGCCGCGGUAA